UACAGAGGUCUCGAGCGUUAGGCGGAAUCACUGGGCUUAAAGCGUGUGUAGGCGGAAUUGUAAGUACCUUGUGAAAUCCCACAGCUCAACUGUGGAACUGCUCGGUAUACUGCUUUUCUUGAGCCACUUAGGGGCUGUCGGAACAAACGGUGGAGCGGUGAAAUGCGUAGAUAUCGUUUGGAACGCCAAUGGUGAAAACAGACAGCUGGGAGUGUG
rnacentral:rRNA from 1 species